rnacentral:lncRNA from 1 species
CGGGAGCCUUCAGGGUGGGCUCUGGGGGCCAGGUGCGGCCUCAGCGCCGUCCCUUCCCGGGAAGCCUCCUCCCUGGGGUCCACGCCGGCUCCUGCUGGCUCCCCCAUUCCGCUGAAAUCUGAGGAAAAGGCUCUGGGAACGCAGCCAGACUCCCCCACAGCUCAGACGGCUGUAAAGAAAUAUUCCUGCCAGAUGUUCAGAGGCGGAGGCCAGCAUGAGGUCCCAGAACCAGAGCUUCUAUGGCGGAUUCUCACCAGAAAAUGAAAUUCUCAGCUUACAGGCAACGUACAGGCGAUGCUGCCGGAAACGUGUGUUUUCCUAUCUAGGAGUCAGUCUGUCGCAGACCGAUUCCUGGAUCGCCGAGGUCGCCCACUCUCCCCAGAAGCCUGCUCCCUCCCGACCCGACCGGUGGGAGGCCGCGUCCCCGACGCUUGCCAGGAGCCCCGCCUGCAGCCGAGGCGUCCUCCCCGCGCCGCGGGCUCCUGUGGCAACGGCCGCCUCCCGGCUGGCCUCUUUUCUGCCUUCUGCCUUCCCGUUGGCGACUGGGGAGGCCCGUGGUCAACGAGGCCCCAGCGAUCACCUGGGGGACGUCCUGUAGGGAGAGCCUGACUCACAAGGACCAGUGUUGAGCCGUCGCACCCCCGCUUGGGACCAGGAUGGGCUGCACUUUCCCCACCCGCGGCCCUGGGACCCGCCCCACCCGAAGCCCGGGGAGAUCCAACCGCAGGCUGCCUCCGGCCAGCGGACUCAUUCACACUCCGCAAACAGGCUGGGGCCAGACGCCGCCCUGCCCUAGGUGCCCAGCAAACACGCGGGCCAGCCAGACCCCUGGACCUUCACAGGGAGGAGGAGAUGGAGAUGGGUUCACCCCCCACAAAGGAGGGAGGGGAGGGGAUGGCCGCCAUGCCCAGGUGCCGGGACAGGAGCCGAGGGCCGCGUGCACCCCUUGGGCCCUUGGAGGGGCCGGCAUGUGCCUCUCUGUCCCUGUGCCACUUCCACUGGCCGUACAGGGCCACCACCGCGGAAACCGCAUGUGUAACCCCUGGAAACAGGGUCCUCCUUGAUGAGUCAUGUUCUAAGUUGGGAGGAAAAUUCACUGGAUAGUGGAGGCAGUAGAAAGAAAUAAAAAAAGUCUUUGUUCCA